GAUGAACGCUAGCUACAGGCUUAACACAUGCAAGUCGAGGGGAAACGACAUCGAAAGCUUGCUUUUGAUGGGCGUCGACCGGCGCACGGGUGAGUAACGCGUAUCCAACCUGCCCACCACUUGGGGAUAACCUUGCGAAAGUAAGACUAAUACCCAAUGACGUCUCUAGAAGACAUCUGAAAGAGAUUAAAGAUUUAUCGGUGAUGGAUGGGGAUGCGUCUGAUUAGCUUGUUGGCGGGGUAACGGCCCACCAAGGCGACGAUCAGUAGGGGUGAUGAGAGGAAGGUCCCCCACAUUGGAACUGCGACACGGUCCAAACGCCUACGGGAGGCAGCAGUGAGGAAUAUUGGUCAAUGGGCGAGAGCCUGAACCAGCCAAGUAGCGUGCAGGAUGACGGCCCUAUGGGUUGUAAACUGCUUUUAUAAGGGAAUAAAGUGAGUCUCGUGAGACUUUUUGCAUGUACCUUAUGAAUAAGGACCGGCUAAUUCCGUGCCAGCAGCCGCAGUAA
rnacentral:rRNA from 1 species